UCCGUUUUUUGUUGUAAGUUAAUUUUCGAAAAGGACAUUAGCCCUGUUAGCGUAAAAAUAAAAUCCUUAUUGAUUUAUUUAAAUCCAAGCAAUUUUGACCAUUUAAGAUGUAAAAAUUUUAUCAAAGAUUUUGACAGUAAAUCUCCAUAUUGAUUAUUUUAAUACAAGCAAUUUUGACCAUUUAAGAAAUUCAUUGGAAAUUCUAUGAUCAAUCCUCUCAACCAC